CGGCCCGGCCGCAGCGACAGCAGCGGCUGCCGCCGGACGGCGGAGCGCCCGCAGCAACGCUGCUCGCAAGUGCGUGCGCAAAUCGAGGAGCUUGGAAAAGACCUCCGAGAUCAUGGAGUCCAACCUGCGCCCAAACACCACCUUGUCAACUAGACCAUGGCACUGAGUGCCACGGUCAGUCUUUCCUUAAACACCUCCAGCACCUGCCUGGGCAGCCCAUUCCAAUGUUUAAUCAGCCUUUCUGUGAAGAAAUUUCUCCACAUGUCCAGCCUAAACCUUCCAAGGAACAGCUGAAGAAGACCAUGUCCUCUAAUCCUGUCACUGGGUGCCUGGCUGACCCCUACCUGGCUACAAGCUCCUUCCAGGGAGUUGCAGACGAUGAGGUCACCCCUGAGCCUCCUCCUCUCCAGGCUAAGGUCCUGGUCUUCUGUUUGCCAACCCAUCAAUCCCGCACCAGAGCAGGAAGCACUGGAAAGGAACAAAAUAAAAACAUCAUCAUUUUCCACGCUUAUAAGUCCAAGACACUUUACUUGUCCUGAAAGCAGCGUUUUGCAGGACUAUUUCACAGCAACAGUACAGGAUGGAUUUGCCUAGCUCUAUUAAUAAGGCCACAAACUUUCUGAAAGACUACUUUUGUAGAGCUUUUCUGCUUAUUAAAUUUUCCCGCAAUCCAAA